rnacentral:rRNA from 1 species
UACGGAAUCUUCGGCAAUGGACGAAAGUCUGACCGAGCAACGCCGCGUGAGUGAAGAAGGUUUUCGGAUCGUAAAACUCUGUUGGUAGAGAGGAACGUUGGUGAGAGUGGAAAGCUCAUCAAGUGACGGUAACUACCCAGAAAGGGACGGCUAACUACGUACCAG